rnacentral:rRNA from 1 species
CCCUUAGAUGUCCUGGGCCGCACGCGCGCUACACUGAACGGAUCAGCGCGUUUUCCCUUCCCGAGAGGGACGGGUAACCUGCUGAACCCCGUUCGUGGUAGGGAUCGGGGCUUGCAAUUAUUCCCCGUGAACCAGGAAUGCCCAGUAAGUGCAAGUCAUAAGCUUGCGUUGAUUACGUCCCUGCCCUUUGUACACACCGCCCGUCGCUACUACCGAUUGAACGUUUUAGUGAGGUACUCGGUCUGAGCCUCAGAAGAUUCACGUCUUUUGUGCUGCUCGGGAAGAUUCCCAAACUUGAGCGUUUAGAGGAAGUAAAAGUCGUAACA